GAUGAACGCUGGCGGCGUGCUUAACACAUGCAAGUCGAACGGAAAGGCUCCUGCUUGCAGGGGUACUCGAGUGGCGAACGGGUGAGUAACACGUGGGUGAUCUGCCCUGCACUUCGGGAUAAGCCUGGGAAACUGGGUCUAAUACCGGAUAGGACCACAUUUUGGAUGGUGUGGUGGAAAGUUUUUCGGUGUGGGAUGAGCUCGCGGCCUAUCAGCUUGUUGGUGGGGUAAUGGCCUACCAAGGCGUCGACGGGUAGCCGGCCUGAGAGGGUGUACGGCCACAUUGGGACUGAGAUACGACCCAGACUCCUACGGGAGGCAGCAGUGGGGAAUAUUGCACAAUGGGCGCAAGCCUGAUGCAGCGACGCCGCGUGGGGGAUGACGGCCUUCGGGUUGUAAACUCCUUUCGCUAGGGACGAAGCGCAAGUGACGGUACCUGGAGAAGAAGCACCGGCUAACUACGUG
rnacentral:rRNA from 1 species